UCCUCCCCCAUGCCGGGAAGGGUGAGAAGCUUCGACUAAGGUUCGAUUCGAGCGCAGCGAGAAAAGCGUUACCGCAGGCAACGACCCGAAGGAGCGAGCAGCGCGACGAGUAAUCCUUCCCCACCAUCA
rfam:Kluyvera intestini strain GT-16 tig00000000, whole genome shotgun sequence.